AAGUAUUCCUGCUUUCACAGAAUUAUUCCAGGGGUUUUAUGCCAGGGUGGUGACUUCAUAUGCCAUAGUGGUACUGACACAAGUCCAUCUACGGGGAGAAAUUUGAGGAUGAGAACUUCAUCCUGACACAUACAGGUCCUGGCAUCUUGUCCAUGGCAAAUUCUGAACCCAACAUCAACAGUUCCAGUCUAUCAUCUGCACAGCUGGGCCUGAGUGGUUGGAUGGCAAGCAUGUGGUUUUUUGGCAAGGUAAAGACAGAAGGAAUAUCUUGGAAGGCACAGAGUGCUUUGGGUCCAGAAAUGGCAAGACCAACAAGAAGAUCGCCAUUGCUAACUGUGGACAACUCUA
rnacentral:lncRNA from 1 species